GAUUUGUCCAUUAGAUGCCAUAUAAACUAUAUGAUACAUUUGAAAGCACUAUAGAUUCAACUUUUAUGUUAGAGAACAUUGGAAAGCAGAAAAUGUAUAAAUUAUAAUGAAGUACACAUAAAUGCAAUAUAAAGCAAUGUCUUUACUUUGUUAAAAAUAUCGGAAUUUUUUUCACUUUAAACUUUCCAAGCAGCUUAAUAAUAAGUAAAAUGUAAAAAUAGGUAAAAAAAAUAAGUAAAAGUACAGUAUCUAUUAUACUAGUGUAGUAAAUGCCCCAAAUAAUUUAACAAGCGGGGGAGAAUCUAAACACCACCUAAAAUGCACCGUGUUACAAACCUGUCCUUUAGUAAUACCACUGUUGCUAUUGCUAUAUUGCUAAAGUUCUAACAAUGUCUCCAAAUAACACCCAAAUAACAAAAUCAUCCAAAUAACAAAAUCAAGGCAGCUGCCUCAAAGUGCAAUGCUUUCCUGAAAAGGUGGAGAAAAUACUAUAAUACAAAUUUUUCAGUGUCUUAGAACCAGAUAUUUGUAGCUUUGAGGUCAAGAAAAACCGACAUCCAUUUUCCCAGAGCUACUCACUAUGGGAGAUUACCAAUUGCAUCAGUUCAAACCACACGGAAACUAAUUUUUGCAAAUAAGACAAAAACUCUAGCAAUAUUAUCUAAGGAAUGUCAUUGACAUUAUGUAGGUAAUAGCUAAAUUACUUCAAAAAUAGUACAGUAACUUAUUAAUAGACAUUUAAAAAGGUGAAAAAAGUACAAAGAAAAAUACCCAAGUACAGCUCUCAAUAGAUGUUAUCAUCUAUUUUAUUCUCCUUCCUCAGAUGAGGGAAAGCACAGAUCAUUCCUAAACAGUCAAUUCUAGAGCCAGUCCUUCAGUUCAAGAAUAACUCAACAGCCUAGAGAGAAGAAAAUAAGAAGCUAUAGUGAAAAGAAGAAAAAUGAAAAGGUGACCACCAGGAGAAUGAAGUAUAUUGGAGAAUAAAUGUCCCACCGUUUCCUGAUUUCUUGUUGAUGGCCUGGGCUACACCAACAACCUGGUAUAAGGAGAGAAAAGUGACAAUUUUUUUAUUGACUGAAAUUACUUGUAAAAAUUCACCAAAAUGUAUUUAUACAAGAUAUCCUGCAUGUGCUUUAAAAUAACACUAGUCUACAAAACAAAAGCAAAACCCCUCAUCAGCAUUUGAGCAAGCUUUACAUCAUUUAUCACAUUCUUUCAUCCUAAUAAGAAUUCGAAUGUUUUUAAUUUAUUAGGGCCCAAACUAUGUUUGAUCCUGUGAUUUCACCCUGCACUUUGAAUGAAAUUAUUUUAGCAAUCACAUUUUAAGUAUAUAUUUUCCAUAGUUUUUAAAUAUAAACAACAAAUUUUGA